rnacentral:tRNA from 1 species
GGGCUGGUAGCUCAAUGGUAGAGCAGGCUGCUCAUAACGGCUCGGUUGCGGGUUCGAAUCCUGCCCGGCCCACCG